UACGAAGGGGGCUAGCGUUGUUCGGAAUCACUGGGCGUAAAGGGCGCGUAGGCGGCUUUGUAAGUCGGGGGUGAAAGCCUGUGGCUCAACCACAGAAUUGCCUUCGAUACUGCAUGGCUUGAGACCGGAAGAGGUAAGUGGAACUGCGAGUGUAGAGGUGAAAUUCGUAGGUAUUCGCAAGAACACCAGUGGCGAAGGCGGCUUACUGGUCCGGUUCUGACGCUGAGGCGCGAAAGCGUGGGGAGCAAACAGG
rnacentral:rRNA from 1 species